rnacentral:rRNA from 1 species
UACUCGAGUGGCGAACGGGUGAGUAACACGUGGGUGAUCUGCCCUGCACUUCGGGAUAAGCCUGGGAAACUGGGUCUAAUACCGGAUAGGAGCCAUUUUUAGUGUGAUGGUUGGAAAGUUUUUUCGGUGUAGGAUGAGCUCGCGGCCUAUCAGCUUGUUGGUGGGGUAAUGGCCUACCAAGGCGGCGACGGGUAGCCGGCCUGAGAGGGUGGACGGCCAACAUUGGGACUGAGAUACGGCCAG